GAGAGUAUAGCUCAAUGGUAGAGCGCAUGCUUAGCAUGCACGAGGUACUGGGUUCAAUCCUCGGUACUUCCA
rfam:Camelus ferus unplaced genomic scaffold scaffold844, whole genome shotgun sequence.